ACGGCUGAGUAACGCGUGGGUGACGUACCUGUUGGUGGGGGAAUAACUGCCCGAAAAGGGUGGCUAAUUCCGCAUAAGUCCGGUGGUUCGAUCUGCCGGGGAAAGCUUCGCAAGAAGCGCCGAUGGAGCGGCCCGCGUCCGAUUAGCUGGUUGGUGGGGUAACGGCCUACCAAGGCGACGAUCGGUAGCUGGUCUUAGAGGAUGAUCAGCCAGACUGGGACUGAGACACGGCCCAG
rnacentral:rRNA from 1 species